GAAAACAUAGGAUAAAAAGGUGCCCGAUACUGCCGGAAGGCGCAUCGGGAUAAUAGGGAACCGGGUGCGAAUCCCGGACGAUCCCGUCGCUGUAAUAGCGUAGUAUUUUCAGGCCGCAGGGCAGUCACUGUGCAAACGGGAAGACGGAAAAUACGAAAAUGCUUAAGUCAGAAGACCUGCCUUUUUAUCAGGCUUUAUA
rnacentral:ncRNA from 25 species